GGAGCCCUACUCUCGCAACUCAAGAUGGCGGACGAGAGUGAGACAGCAGUGAAGCCGCCGGCACCUCCGCUGCCGCAGAUGAUGGAAGGGAACGGGAACGGCCAUGAGCACUGCAGCGAUUGCGAGAAUGAGGAGGACAACAGCUACAACCGGGGAUGAACUCUUUGCCAGCAGAGAGGAUCC
rnacentral:sRNA from 1 species